rnacentral:rRNA from 1 species
UACGUAGGGUCCGAGCGUUGUCCGGAAUUAUUGGGCGUAAAGCGCACGUAGGCGGCUUGCCAAGUCGGACGUGAAAUCCCUCAGCUCAACUGAGGACGUGCAUCCGAAACUGGCGAGCUUGAGUGCUGAAGAGGAUCGCGGAAUUCCCGGUGUAGAGGUGAAAUUCGUAGAUAUCGGGAGGAACACCAGUGGCGAAGGCGGCGAUCUGGGCAGACACUGACGCUGAGGUGCGAAAGCGUGGGGAGCAAACAGG